rnacentral:rRNA from 1 species
GAUGAACGCUGGCGGCGUGCCUAAUACAUGCAAGUCGAGCGAACGGACGAGAAGCUUGCUUCUCUGAUGUUAGCGGCGGACGGGUGAGUAACACGUGGAUAACCUACCUAUAAGACUGGGAUAACUUCGGGAAACCGGAGCUAAUACCGGAUAAUAUUUUGAACCGCAUGGUUCAAAAGUGAAAGACGGUCUUGCUGUCACUUAUAGAUGGAUCCGCGCUGCAUUAGCUAGUUGGUAAGGUAACGGCUUACCAAGGCAACGAUGCAUAGCCGACCUGAGAGAGUGAUCGGCCACCCUGGAACUGAGACACGGUCCAGACUACUACGGGAGGCAGCAGUAGGGAAUCUUCCGCAAUGGGCGAAAGCAUGACGGAGCAACGCCGCGUGAGUGAUGAAGGCCUUCGGAUCGUAAAACUCUGUUAUUAGGGAAGAACAUAUGUGUAAGUAAAUGUGCACAUCUUGACGGUACCUAAUCAGAAAGCCACGGCUAACUACGUG